UACGGAGGGUGCAAGCGUUAUCCGGAUUUACUGGGCUUAAAGGGUGCGUAGGUGGGUCUGUAAGUCAGUGGUGAAAUCUCCGAGCUUAACUCGGAAACUGCCAUUGAUACUAUAGGUCUUGAAUUAUCUGGAGGUAAGCGGAAUAUGUCAUGUAGCGGUGAAAUGCUUAGAUAUGACAUAGAACACCAAUUGCGAAGGCAGCUUGCUGCGGAUCGAUUGACACUGAGGCACGAAAGCGUGGGGAGCAAACAGG
rnacentral:rRNA from 1 species